rnacentral:rRNA from 1 species
UACGGAGGGUGCAAGCGUUAAUCGGAAUUACUGGGCGUAAAGCGCACGCAGGCGGUCUGCCAAGUCGGAUGUGAAAUCCCCGGGCUUAACCUGGGAACUGCAUCCGAAACUGGCAGGCUAGAGUCUUGUAGAGGGGGGUAGAAUUCCAUGUGUAGCGGUGAAAUGCGUAGAGAUGUGGAGGAAUACCAGUGGCGAAGGCGGCCCCCUGGACAAAGACUGACGCUCAGGUGCGAAAGCGUGGGGAGCAAACAGG